rnacentral:rRNA from 1 species
GAUGAACGCUGGCGGCGUGCCUAAUACAUGCAAGUAGAACGCUGAAGGAGGAGCUUGCUCUUCUGGAUGAGUUGCGAACGGGUGAGUAACGCGUAGGUAACCUGCCUGGUAGCGGGGGAUAACUAUUGGAAACGAUAGCUAAUACCGCAUGACAACAGUUAUUGCAUGAUAACUGUUUAAAAGGGGCAACUGCUCCACUACCAGAUGGACCUGCGUUGUAUUAGCUAGUUGGUGAGGUAACGGCUCACCAAGGCGACGAUACAUAGCCGACCUGAGAGGGUGAUCGGCCACACUGGGACUGAGACACGGCCCAGACUCCUACGGGAGGCAGCAGUAGGGAAUCUUCGGCAAUGGACGGAAGUCUGACCGAGCAACGCCGCGUGAGUGAAGAAGGUUUUCGGAUCGUAAAGCUCGGUUGUAAGAGAAGAACGAGUGUGAGAGUGGAAAGUUCACACUGUGACGGUAGCUGACCAGAAAGGGACGGCUAACUACGUG